UGAGCCACCGAGCCUGGCCCUGAUUGGGUUUUAAUGAGAUACUUGUAAGAUGAUGAGAUCCCUGUCAUAGGAGGUAUUCAAGCAGAGACUGGAUGAGCCUUUAAUCAGAGGUGUUGUAGAAGAAAGUCCUCUGAGACUUUAGAGCGGACACAACUCCUUGCUCAUUGUCAGGCCAUCUGACCCUUAGUUAUGCUCCAACAUAGGGAAGACAAGUGGGGUGGUUGCCUAGAGCUAUGCCUGCUCUGCAUUGGUGAGGAGGCAGCAAAAAGACAGUCUUGCCACAGGGCCACGGCUCAGACUAGGUAGUACCAGGGAAAUCAUAACCCUGUGAAUAUGAUGGUUUUCUUGCUGUGAAGGUUUUGUGAUGGUAAAAGUACUAACUUAAGUUUUCAGCUUUGUUUUUGUUACCAAGCACUGAAUGCAACACGGCAUCAACAAAUCACCCAACCCUCCCCAUUCCAUGCCCACCGUCCCAUCUUUGGCCUCCCUCCAUCCUUGACCUUCUGCCCAUCCCUGCCUAUUCGCAGUGGCCUUGUGGCUGAGGAGCACAGAGGAGCAAGGCAAGCCCCUCUCCCUGGUGGCAGGGGGAGUCAGGAACGGUUCCCUCCUUUCUCCUUUCCUUCCCUCCUGUGUCUCCCCUCUUUGUUCUCCAUUUUUCCCUCUGCCUCUAUAGCUGGCAGGAUGAGCUGGCUGGGGAUGAGCCAGGGCAAGCCCUUGCCACCCCUGUUGUCUGUCUGUCCAUCAAAGAGGGGGAUGGUGGGAUCAUUAGGAGGAUCUCGAGAGCCCCUUUGCUCCCACAGUGCAGGAUGCACACUCCUCCCAGCCAUGCCAGACCUGGCUCUCCUCCACUCAGGUUUCCCCAGGAGGCUGGGUCUACUCCUUGUGUGUUGGCUGCAGGUUGGGGAAGAAAACAGAGAAGUGUGCCCUUGGCUGAGGACAAGAAUCUGCAUGAUGUUUUCUUUGACCUUGAGAAUGCCUUUUGCUUGCCCUGCAGAGCAGGAGAGGAGCUGGAACUUUCCCGUUUGGCUCUGUCAGCCAAGUGCAGCUUUCAAGUUCUCUAGGGACUGCUGUAUUUUCUCAUGAGUUCCGACUUCAGAUCUCCGGCUCCUCUUUCACUGGACGGAUUCCAAAUACUACAACUCCCUGUGUGACAGCUGGAGAAUCACUGCACCUUUCUGGGCCCCAUUGAGUGACAGAAGAUCGGAAUGGAUAGUCACAUGCCUGCCCCAGCGUGGAAGGAGAAGAGCCUAUACUUCCAUCCAUUCUGGCCUCUUCCAAGUUCCCCUCAUUUUUCUCUCUAAGAUCAAAUAAAUAAACAUGUUGUUAUUCUUUUUA